CCUACGGGCGGCAGCAGUGGGGGAUAUUGCACAAUGGGGGAAACCCUGAUGCAGCGACGCCGCGUGGGUGAAGAAGCGCCUCGGCGCGUAAAGCCCUGUCAGCAGGGAAGAAAAUGACGGUAACUGAAGAAGAAGCACCGGCUAACUACGUGCCAGCAGCCGCGGUAAUACGUAGGGGGCAAGCGUUAUCCGGAGUUAAUGGGUGUAAAGGGGGCGCAGACGGCGAUGCAAGCCAGGAGUGAAAGCCCGGGGCCCAACCCCGGGACUGCUCUUGGAACUGCGUGGCUAGAGUGCAGGAGGGGCAGGCGGAAUUCCUGGUGUAGCGGUGAAAUGCGUAGAUAUCAGGAGGAACACCGGUGGCGAAGGCGGCCUGCUGGACUGCAACUGACGUUGAGGCCCGAAAGCGUGGGGAGCAAACAGGAUUAGAUACCCGGGUAGUC
rnacentral:rRNA from 1 species